rnacentral:rRNA from 1 species
CSGGGGGKWWUUCCCCCAUASCUAACRGCGAGUGAACCGGGAAGAGCUCAAAUUUGAAAUCUGGCGUGCUCAGUGCGUCCGAGUUGUAAUCUAUAGAGUCGUUUUCCGUGCCGGACUGUGUCCAAGUCCCUUGGAACAGGGUAUCAAAGAGGGUGAUAAUCCCGUACUUGACACAAUGACCGGUGCUCUGUGAUACGUCUUCUACGAGUCGAGUUGUUUGGGAAUGCAGCUCAAAAUGGGUGGUGAGUUCCAUCUAAAGCUAAAUAUUGGCGAGAGACCGAUAGCGAACAAGUACCGUGAGGGAAAGAUGAAAAGCACUUUGGAAAGAGAGUUAAACAGUACGUGAAAUUGUUAAAAGGGAAACGAUUGAAGUCAGUCGUGACUGAGAGGCUCAGCCGGUUCUGCCGGUGUAUUCCCCUCAGUCGGGUCAACAUCAGUUUUGUUCGGUGAAUAAGGGCAGUUGGAAGGUGGCACCCUCGGGUGUGUUAUAGCCAGCUGUCGCAUACAUCGGAUGAGACUGAGGAAUGCAGCUCGCCUUUAUGGCCGGGGUUCGCCCACGUUCGAGCUUAGGAUGUUGACAUAAUGGCUUUAAACGACCCGUCUUGAAACACGGGACC